rnacentral:rRNA from 1 species
UACGGAGGGUGCGAGCGUUGUCCGGAAUCACUGGGCGUAAAGGGCGCGUAGGUGGCGCGGGAAGUCAACGGUGAAAGUUCGGGGCUCAACCCUGAAUCGGCCGUCGAUACUCCCGGGCUCGAGCACUGUAGAGGCAGAUGGAAUUCCGGGUGUAGCGGUGGAAUGCGUAGAGAUCCGGAAGAACACCGGUGGCGAAGGCGGUCUGCUGGGCAGUUGCUGACACUGAGGAGCGAAAGCGUGGGGAGCGAACAGG